ACCCCACUAUUGGCCUGCAAGUAAAGUUNUAAGCACUACGACUAAAAAGUUAAAACUUAAACAACAUGGCGGCAAGCCCAAAUUUCAGAGGAACCUACCAGGUAAAUGAUAACCCGCACAAAAUUCUUACUUUAGCUAAAAGUUUACAUAUCGCCGUCUAGUAACCUUUCGAGAAGGUUACGAUAGAACAUUAUGACAGGUCAUGACGUAGCAUAUGCUAAAGACGUAAGGUGGGUUACAAUAACUAAUUGUUUCCGAUGUUUAUUAAAAUAUAAACGGAAGAUGGAUUUGAAAGUAAUUUUUAAAAGAAAUACACUAUGAAUCUUUCUGGGUUUGUGUACACACCG
rnacentral:rRNA from 1 species